GUUGUUGCUAUUUCUUGGGCCGCUCCCGCGGCAUAUGGAGGUUCCCAGGAUAGGGGUUGAACCGGAGCUGUAGCCACCGGCCUACGCCAGAGCCACAGCAACGCGGGAUCUGAGCCGCAUCUGCAACCUACACCACAGCUCACGGCAACGCCGGAUCGUUAACCCACUGAGCAAGGGCAGGGACCGAACCCGCAACCUCAUGGUUCCUAGUCGGAUUCGUUCACCACUGCGCCACGACAGGAACUCCUUUAUUGCUUCUUAUUUUAUGCUGUUUGUACACACAUGUGUCUUCCUUCUCUUCCACAAUACUUAUCUGCCACUAGGACCCUCAAAACCCUCAGCAAAAAUCUUACACAAAAGAGCCAUGUAUUAGUGGUGCUCAUCUGGGCAAUGAAAAGAAGAGACUAUGUCCCAAGAUAAGGAUGACCAGGAACAAAGGUAGGAGUCACAGGGGCCAUGAGCAUCUACAGAUGCUUACGGUAGGCAUCUACAGAGUGCUCAGGAUGCAGUAAGAUGUUGGUGGGCAUCCACGGAGUGCUCAGGAUGCUAUAAGCAUGCCACAAAUGUGCUGAGAAUAAACAAACAGGUGAAUAAACAAAUGAAUAAUCAAGUAACAGGAGAGCUGAGAAACAGCUGUAGUUGAUGUUGAUCAAGGGGAACACAAACCCCUCAAUCAUCUCUGGAAAUGCUUAGAGAUUUCUGAGAAACUGUUAGACUUGCCAUAAUAUAUGUAAUAGAGCCAUGUCAUUCACAUAUCAAAAAAACAACUAAGCACAUAAAUCUGGGACAUUUGAGAUUAUUUGGGUUACACAGGGCUAUUCUAGCUUCAAGCACCAUAUGGCCUAGUAUUUAUUCGAAAUUAAUUUUUAUUUAGAUCUUUCUGUGGAGUUCUGUAAUGUUUUCCCUUCAUUUAAGUUCUAUAGUCUUGUUGAGUUAAUCCCUAGGCAUUUUAUACAUAUAUACACAUAUAUCUUUUUGCCACAGUGAUGGAAUUUCUAUUUCCAUCACAUUUCCUAAUUGCUUCUAUACGGAAAUGACUGAGUUUUGUAUAUUCAUUUUAUGACCUAACUAAACUCACUUAGAGCUCUAAUGAUGGUUUCUCAGCUAAGUCUCUUGGGUCAAUUGCGCUGCUCUGGCUAGAUGGAGAGGCACAAUGAGAUUCCAUCAAAAGGCUCUUUUUAAUCACAUAGUCAGAAACAUUAAUUGUAUCUGGUCCCUCAGGGAACAAUUUGGGAGCUCCGAGGAUGACAAGUAAUUUCUGGGAUGAAAUCCUAAGGAAAUAUAGGGUUUUAUAGCCAAAAGGCUGAAGGGAAGAAAAAUGACAGAGAAGAAUGAUGAAAACAUUUGACUAAACCUGCAUAGACACUGGCACAGGUGGGGACCUUGCUGAUUAUUAGCUUGGGGAAAUGAAGGGGUGCAAAGAACCCAGACCACUCCUUAACAAGAGCAAGCCUCUUAGAACACUGCCUCUUCCUUAGCCUCAAAUGGAAUGGUUGUAUCAGUUCUAUUGACUCAGGAGGGAAAUCUCUCUUUCAGAGAUCCUUAAAAUGUUCUAAUUAGAAAUGUCCACGCAGGAGUUCCUGUCAUGGCACAGCAGAAAUGAAUCUGACUAGGAACCAUGAGGUUGUGGGUUCGAUCCCUGGCCUCACUCAGUGAGUUAAGGUUCUGGUGUUGCUGUGGUUGUGGUGUAGGCCAGCAGCAGCUCUAGCUCCGAUUAGACCCCUAGCCUGGGAACCUCCAUAUGCUGUGGAUGUGGCCCCAAAAAGCAAAAAAGAAAAAGAAAAAAAAAGAAAUGCCCAUGCAGCAGGGAAGAAGUAAAAAGAGCCAAAUGAAAAGCUCUGAUAUUUGAUAUGUAAAUUAACUUGAAUGACAAGUUCAUAGAGAAGAAAUAAGGAAGAAUAGCCAGGAAAAUUGGGAAAACAAAACCAAAAAUACCCAAACAGGGAGUCCCCAUUGUAAAAGAACAGAAACAAAUCUGAUUAGUAUCCUCGAGGAUGCAGGUUCCAUCUUUGGCCUCAUUCAGUGGGUAUGAGGAUCCGGUGUUGCCAUGAGCUGUGGUGUAGGCUGGCAGCUGUAGCUCUAAUUUGACCCCUAGCCUGAGAACUUCCACAUGCUGUGGGUGUGGCCCUAAAAAGCAAAAAAAAAAAAAAAAAAGAAAAAGAAAAAAGAAAAAAAGAGAUGGAGUCAGGGGAGAGAGGGACUGCUAGGGCCUACCAGACAUUAGAACACCCUCAAAAGCCUCUGUAAUUAGAACAAUUUGAAAAUGAUAUUUGAAUAUACAAAAUUAUACAUGGAAAUUCAGGAUAUCAUAAAGGUAGAAUUAUUAAAUCAGCUGGCAAAAAGAUCAGCUUUUAAAUAAACAUCUUGACUUUGGAAUGGAUAAGCAAUUAGAUCCUGCUGUAUAGCACUGGGAACUAUAUCUAGUCACUUAUGAUAGAGCAUGAUUAUGUGAGAAAAAGAAGGUAUAUAUGUAUGUGUGACUGGGUCACCUUGCUGUACAGUAGAAAACUGACAAACACUGUAAACCAGCUAUGAUGGAAAAAAAUAAAAAUCAUUUAAAGAAAUACAUAAAUAAACAAGCAAGGAGUUCUUGUCAUGGCUUAGUGGUUAACGAAUCUGACUAGGAACCAUGAGGUUGCAGGUUUGAUCCCUGGCCUCGCUGAACGGGUUAAGGAUCUGGCGUCGUGAGCUAUGGUGUAGGUUGCAGCUGCGGCUAGGGUCUUGUGUUACUGUGGCUCUGGGGUAGGCUGGCGGCUACAGCCCCUAUUAGACCACUAGCCUGGGAACCUCCAUAUGCCUCAGGAGUGGCCCUAGAAAAGGCAAAAACACAGAAAUAAAUAAAUAAAUAGGCAAACAUAUUGAGAUAAUGGCAGAGUAAUAUGGAGAAAGAUAAAAUUGUACUCAUUCCUGAUACCACACACCAGCAUAAAUUCCAAAGGAGGCAGACAUGUGAAUGUAAAAAAGUAAAGUAUACAAAUACUUGAAGAAAGUAUGGGUAAUUCUUUUAUUACUUGUGGGUAAAAAAGCUUUGCUAACUCUCAAAGUUUGAAGCAAUAAGGAAAAAGAUAAACUUUAUUACAUAAAAAGUACACAGUAAAAACUACAAUUAAGUGAAAAUACAAAUGAAAAACUAGAAAAAAACAUUCAACUUAUGCCAAGUAAAGAAUUACCAUCCCUCAAUUUUACUUAUAACUCAAAAAUCAAUAUUCAUGGUGCUUUUUGCUGAAGGACUGUCUAGUAUUGCUAAGUGCAAAAAGGCCUUAAAAGAAAAUGCAUGUCUUAGCUAAGUUUUGCUCAGGCAUUACUUAUAGUGUAACUGGCCAUGAGUUCAAAGUUAAUGAAUGAACAAUGUACAUGACACAUGGUCUUUAAACAGAAGCACAUAUAAAACAAGACUAUAUUGAUCAGUUGACGAAAAAAAUGUGACCCGAGCUCCUAGGAACCUAACCAUGUAUUUCCCUUAGGAGCAAUGGUUCAGUAUUCAUUCAUUCAGUAUUCACAGCAACUUUACAGACCAUAACUACUACGAGUAAUAAGAAUCAGCGGUAUUUGAGUUCAGCUUUAAAAUAUUUUGUAAGGAAUGGAGCUUGAACAAAACAACAGUUGCUUUCCAUCUCUUUAGGACAAAAGAAGAUCUGAUUUAGCUGAUGGCCAACAUACCAUAAGAGAGUGACCUCUGCGAAAAUGAGGAGGCGAAGAAUAGGAGAGUUGAUAUAUCAACUGGCAUCAUAGGCCUGCAAGGAGGUCUGGAAAGAAGCAUACUCUUCCACUUUAUAGGUAGAGACACAGAUACCAAGAAAUCACAAUCUUUAUUCAAGAUCAAACCUACUAGCUGUGAGACCUAGAGCUGGAAAUCCUUGAAUUUCUUGUAAGGGGUGAAAAUAUCCUUGAUAUGCUUGCUGCAAAGACUGAGAUGAUGCAUGCAAAGCACUCACAGUACUUGGCACAUAGUAAGUGCUCAGUGCAAGUUAGCAACUAUCACCCAAUAGCAGAAGCAAGAGAAGGACACAUAAGGCCAGAGCUCACCAACUAUCUCUUAGGUUUGCUUCUCCUAAGCAUUUCUAAUGAACCGAAGGCUUUCCGGCUACUCCCCAAAUAGCUCAUUUUGUUGAAUCCAGUGUCUUAAUUAAAUUGAAUGUAGAAAGUACUUAUAGGGGUUUUAUUUAUAAUGUAUACCUUUGUCUUCCAUAAAAAGGAUCUGAGACAAUUACUACUAGGUGCAAUUUGUACAAGAGAACUAUUAACAUAUCAAAGCACAUUAAAGACAUCAGAAAGAGAGAUCCAGAGUUACAUGGAGAAAGGGGGUAUUCACUUUACAUAAGAUGCAAUGAGAUCAUUUAUUUCCCGUGGAGCCUCCUGAAAAUAAAGGCAAAAAGGACAGCCAGUACCAUUUUCAUAAAUAGAAGUACAUUCUCUAUUUUGUUCAGAAAUACAAACUUUCUGCCAUUAACUUCCAAGAAAAGACCACUAGACAAAUCUGAUAAGCAUGAGCAUUCUGAAUAGCAGUUUCAUAGAAUUCGAACAGAAUAUUCUUGCCAUGGCUGCUCCUUACCAAACCACUAUAAAAGCUAAUGUCUGUAUUAAGUAGUAAUUCAGAAAGCAUUUCAAUAAGCAGCAGGAGCACCAUGCUAUGGGGAAAAGGUCAUGCAGGCCUG
ensembl:lncRNA